GACGAGGGAUCCUAGCGUUGCUCGGAAUCAUUGGGCGUAAAGCGGGUGUAGGUGGCUUUGUAAGUCAGGUGUGAAAGCCCAGGGCUCAACCCUGGAAGUGCAUUUGAAACUGCAAAGCUUGAGUGCUAGAGAGGUUAUUAGAAUACCUGGUGUAGUGGUGAAAUACGUAGAUAUCAGGUGGAACACCGGAGGCGAAGGCGGAUAACUGGCUAGACACUGACACUGAGACCCGAAAGUGCGGGGAUCAAACAGG
rnacentral:rRNA from 2 species